rnacentral:rRNA from 1 species
UACAGAGGUGGCAAGCGUUGUUCGGAAUUACUGGGCGUAAAGGGUGCGUAGGCGGGUCUUUUAAGUCAGGGGUGAAAUCCUGGAGCUCAACUCCAGAACUGCCUUUGAUACUGAAGAUCUUGAGUUCGGGAGAGGUGAGUGGAACUGCGAGUGUAGAGGUGAAAUUCGUAGAUAUUCGCAAGAACACCAGUGGCGAAGGCGGCUCACUGGCCCGAUACUGACGCUGAGGCACGAAAGCGUGGGGAGCAAACAGG